AGCAGCCGCGGUAAUUCCAGCUCCAAUAGCGUAUAUUAAAGUUGCUGCAGUUAAAAAGCUCGUAGUUGAAUUUCGGGACCAUCAUGUCGGUCGUGCCUCGGUACGUACUGGCAUUGUUGGUUUCUCCCUUCUGACGAACCAUGAUGUCAUUUAUUUGGUGUUGUGGGGAAUCAGGACUGUUACUUUGAAAAAUUGAGUGUUUAAAGCAGGCUCACGCUUGAAUACAUUAGCAUGGAAUAAUGAAAUAGGACGUUUGAUUCUAUUUUGUUGGUUUCUAGGAUCGACGUAAUGAUUAAUAGGGAUAGUUGGGGCAUUAGUAUUCAAUUGUCAGAGGUGAAAUUCUUGGAUUUAUUGAAGACUAACUACUGCGAAAGCA
rnacentral:rRNA from 1 species